CAAGUCUCUAGGCCACAUAUUGAUAUUCACCACUGAAACCUCUUGGGCCAGGUCUGCAAAUUCAAAUCACUCUCAGUAACAAAGUCUUCCAUAUUCCUACUAGGAUAACCCAUUAGGCCCCACUUAAAGCAUUCCACUGCUUUCCAAAUCCUAAGUCCCAAAAUCCGCAUUCUUCCAAACAAAAGCACGGUCAGGCCUAUCACAGCAAUACCCAACUUGUUAGUUAGGGUUUUACUGCUGUGAACAGACACCAUGACCAAAGAAACGCUUAUAACAACAUUUGCUUGCAACUGGCUUACAGGUUCAGUCCAUUAUCAUCAAGGCAGGAGCACGGCAGCAGCCAGGCAGGCAUCGUGCAGGAGGAGCUCAAAGUUCCUCAACUUCACCAUCAUCUGAAGGCUGCUAGGAGAAGACUGACUUCCAGGAAGCUAGGGUGAGGGUAUGAAAGCCCACUCCCACAGUGACACAGCUACUCCAAGGCCACCUCUACUCCAACAAGGUCACACCUCCUAACAGCACCAUUCCCUGGGCCAAGCAUGUACAAACCAUCACAGAUUCCGACUGACCGGGGUCCUCACUCUUCCAUAGCAAGCGCUUUACUGACUAAGCCACCUCCCGGCCCUUCCUCUCAUCCCUAACCUCCCUCCAUUCUCUCUGGGAAUUGUUCUUCAGGAUCUGUAUCACCCAAAAGCCCGCCCACAUCGGCAUGAGUGACACCUCAGGAAAGCCAACCUUCGCCCUUCUCUGUAUCCAGCAUCCGCAAGACAGCAUGCACCUGGGCAGCAGCCUUCCCUGCAAUGGUGGGCAGAGGACAGGAGGGAUGUGCGGCUGGGAUCUCAGACGAAAGCCUGCAGACCUUCCCUCACCUCUGUGAGGGAAUGUUCUAGGAUCAACCCUGUGAAGGUCUGGGACGGUUACCACAGGUGCUAAGAUUCAAGAUGGCAAUGGCCACAUUAAGUCUAGAGAACAGAACUCUACAACAGACUUCAUCUCAGCUCUCUGCGCUCACCGUGAACACCCCUUACCCUCAGAGCAGGUGGCCUGUGGUCUAGAACAUCACCAUCGGUUGCAAACCCAUCCAAGAAGCCUGCCUUACCAUAACCAAAACACUUUGUUUUGGUUGUUUAGCAUGGACUUGUGGCAUUCUGGCACGUUCUGC
rnacentral:lncRNA from 1 species